AUUGAACGCUGGCGGCAGGCCUAACACAUGCAAGUCGAACGAGUGGCGGACGGGUGAGUAAUGUCUGGGAACCUGCACGACCGAGGGGGCUAACUACUGGAAACGGUAGCUAAUACCGCAUACCAUCGGAUGUGCCCAGAGGGGAUUAGCUAGUCGGUGGGGUAACGGCUAACCUAGGCGACGCGCCCUAGCUGGUCUGAGAGGCUGACCAGCCACACUGGGACUGAGACACGGCCCAGACUCCUACGGGAGGCAGCAGUGGGGAAUAUUGCACAAUGGGCGCAAGCCUGAUACAGCCAUGCCGCGUGUAUGAAGAAGGCCUUCGGGUUGUAAAGUACUUUCAGCGAGGAGGCGUUACUCGCAGAAGAAGCAACGGCUAACUCCGUGCCAGCAGCCGCGGUAAUAC
rnacentral:rRNA from 1 species